ensembl:snoRNA LOC120096418 small nucleolar RNA SNORA17
UCUGCCUCUAGAGUCAUAGUGGGUGUGGGCUGCUGUGUCAUUUGGUGGCAGAGAUGAGAGAGGCUACAUCUACGUUCUGACCUGUGAGCAUCUGAAUGAUUUAAAAAACUGAUUCU